rnacentral:rRNA from 1 species
UACGGGGGGGGCAAGCGUUGUUCGGAAUUACUGGGCGUAAAGGGCUCGUAGGCGGCCAACUAAGUCGGAUGUGAAAUCCCCAAGCUUAACUUGGGAACUGCAUCCGAUACUGGAUGGCUUGAAUCCGGGAGAGGGAUGCAGAACUCCAGGUGUAGCGGUGAAAUGCGUAGAUAUCUGGAGGAAUACCGGUGGCGAAGGCGGCAUCCUGGACCGGCAUUGACGCUGAGGAGCGAAAGCUAGGGGAGCAAACGGG